GGGUUGAAUGGAGCUGUGGGGAAAAACAAAAAAAUAAAGAAAGAGUAAUGUUAUUACCAAAGCUACAUACGAUAUUGUUUCCAACCCUUUGACAAGCACAGGCACCUAACAGCUUGUAGAAUACAAUUUAGUUGUCAACAGCUUGCAACAUUUCAGCAAUGAAGAUGCAGCAGCAGUGACAUUUAUGAGAGCAGGAGGGCAGGAGGCAGAAAUCUUUGGAACCCCAAAGAUGCAGGAAGCUCAACUCUGUCUGUUCCAUGGAGAAAUCCUACUGGAGGAGAGGAUUCCAUUGUGAAGGACAAACUCCUUCAGCUUCAGAUAACAGAGGAAUAAUUGCAGAUUUAUGACUGUUUUACUAGUAAAUACAUAAGAUAAGAACAUAAAACAACAUCAUAGCUUUUAUGUAGUGAAUUAUGUAAUUUGUUUCCAUCUUCCUAAGUGGGAUCAAUUUUUCCAACAGUCACAUAACUUGCAAAAAUGUGCUUAUCUGCUGUUGGAAGCAGAGUGCAUUCUUUCUAAACAAGGCACAGAUCGCAGAGGCACAGCUCCCUAGCUAGAAGGCAAUUCAUCAACAGCAAGGCUUGAUGAAAGCACUGCAGUUUUUCAGCUUGGCAGCUGGGAGAUUUCAUGUGGUUUGGAAAGAGGUGUAAAAGGGGCUAUUGGGUGCACUGAAGGUAUCUUCUUCCACAGCUUGUUGGCCCCAAAGACUAUGAAGAGAUCGCGAUUAAAUAGAAAUGGAACAGUAAAGAGGGAACAGGCUACAGUUUCUGAAAAGUUGAGUAAAACCUCCUUAGUCUCACUAGGUGGUGCUGCAAAAACUCCAAACUCCUGAUUUAAGACUGAAAAAUAAGAAAUCUUUUAUGUAACAGAAAAAUAUAUAGUUAUUUUUUAAUCCCCUCCUACUCUUCCUGUUACAUAUCCAGGGCAAUGCUUUUUAAAAACACUUUAAUGGAGAGCCUAGAUAAUAAUAUGACAGGAUAUGUUGUGUUUGUCCAACAGGCUCAUCUGCGUGUAUGAUGCCUUAUCUUGAAAAGUAUCAGAAAAGACCCUGAGAAUGCACAUUUCUUUUCAUUCUCUUUUAUUUUUAGCUUGAUAUGGCUUGUUGAGGUCAAAGUGACUUAUUUCUGCUUGGCUGAACAUUUAGACCAAGCAACAGAGACCUGGUGCACCCACUCCUGUUUCAGCUUCAGCACAGCACAGCUGGUUUCAUAUGUGACUGACAGAAGCCACAUUGAAAUUUGGCAAUUUAGAAGUUAGUAUGGGGAAAGAUCAGAGUGAAGUGCCGCUAGAUUGUACCUCUCCACAAUUAACAAAAUACCAGUUCCCACAGGGACCAGCCCUUUGAACCUCUGCACCACUGUCUCUGGAUGUGUUUGGGUCAUAGGCAGCAUUGCUUCUUCUCAUUUAAGAAAUGAAUGAGAUGAGUGAGACAGAUUAGUCCCCUAAAAAUGUUAUUUUCCUAUCUGUGUCUACAGAUUUUCCAUUCAGGUCUAUGGUUUCUCUCUUGGGCUAGACACUUGCUGUAGGGAGUUUUAAAACUAGUCCUAGACCCCCACCACUUUUGCACUGGUCAGAGACAGAAAUAUUUUCCUUAGGCCCUGUUGCAAAGAUCUAUCAAAGGAUAUAUGUGGAUGAGUUAAUUAUCCCAAACUUGUGUCCUACAAAAGAGAAUGAGUAUUGAGUAUUUCUAGGGUUCACUGUAGUGUGGUGUCUAGAACAGCCCAGCCAAAUUGUUCUUUUUCUGUUGGCCACCAGGAGUGUGACUAUCUGAAAUACAUCCACUAUUUAUGCGUCUGAAGUCAAGUGAGAUGAAUAGCGCCAAAGUCUGGGACAGAAAGGCUCACAGCUGGAGCACCAAGUGGCUGCAGCAUGUCCAAGCUCUCUGCAGGGUACCUGAGAGCGGGUGUCUCACAAGCUGCCUGCACAGGCUGCUGUGGGGGCUGUCAGAGAGAACAGCCCGGGAACAUUUGCAAAAUAAGAUAAGAAGGGUCUGAAAAGCUAGAAGAAUUCCAUCAGCUUGUCAUUAUCCUCAGCUUGGCUAUGCACAGAACUCCCAAGCUACCUUUCCUGUGAAUUUCUUGCCUCAAGCUCAAUGUUUUACAUUUCCAGGUAUGUGUUGUCCUCUUGCUUGUGCAGCUCUUGGGCAUAGGUGUGGUUUUUUAGGACGUGGGGAGAAUGAAACAGAUGCUAAGUUACAAACCUUCAUUAAGAAAACUAUGAAAUUGCCCUUACUCCUUUUAAGGAAAUUUAAAGGAAUUAAAAAAAAUAAUUUCUUCUUUCUUAAAGCAUUUGGAUUUCAAGACAUGGAAGGUAAAACCAUGUCAAAAUUCUGCACUUAUUGUAUUUCUCCUUAAAACUA